AGUGUAUGGUUUAUAGCAAUUUUUUUAUUUUUUCGCUACUUUUCAACAACCACUUGAUGCUUCUACCGCCGUUGCCAUGGCAACGAAAACUAGAAUCCUUUUGUAUCUUUUGUUUUUUCCCGCCCCGGAUGCAUCCAAUCUUUUUCAAAUUGACCAGAAACUGCAAUCAGACUAUCCAGCGGCUUCUAGAGGCAAUAAAAGGCCUGGAACAUUAGCCUGUCUUUGCAUAAUUGUCGCUUGCAUCUCGCGUGUUCACAAAGCAAGUCUCUCGUCUUAGUUUUCAAUACGAUUUAUAGAAAUUUCUAAUGGGUUCCAAAGCCCGUAAUAAGUUUAAAAAGCGCCGGGAAGGUAAAGGAUUCUCUGGUUCUCCAGCCUGGGAGAAAAGUAGCGAUUCUACAUCGGAAUCAGCGACUUCAAGUUCCUCACGUUCGGCCGCCACGCAGUGUGAUAAACAACAAGAGCAGGAUCCUCCGGCAGCGUCCCAAGCUUCGCAACUCAAUAAAGAGGAGCCCCUAGCCGGUACUUCUAGGAAUAAGAUGGAACUUCGCGGUUUCAGAGACAGCCAGGACGAUUGUUUUGACGGUGAAACUUCCGGCGAAAAUAUUGAAUCGUGCGGUGGAUAUCGACUCAUCGACCUAGGGAAUCUCUCAAACUCCAUUGCUGAAUUUCAUGAGUGUGGAAAAGACUCUUUUAGCAUGACAGAGCACCCUUCGUCAAGAGCUGGGCUUUCCUCAAACAUAAUUAGCCAAUGUAGUAGCUGUGGGAAAAACUCCUGCCUAAAAACGUCUGCAUCUGUCACAGCAAGAGGAAAAUCGCAUGAUGUAAACAGAAGAGCAGUCUACUACUCCCUUGAGUCAGGUGGUGGCUAUGAAGGGCUUGCUACAUUUUGCAGCAUUAUGAAUAUGCCUUGCAUAUCUAAGCCAGCAUACUACAAGCAAGUCGAGAACAUUCUAACAGCACAGGAAGAGGAGGCAGAAGCAGAGAUGGGACUUGCUGCAAAACGACUUAGGGAGAGACUCGCUCAGGAGUCCCAAGAACAGCUCGGGGAGGUUGUGGAUGUUGCUGUCAGCUUUGAUGGCACAUGGGCAAAAAGAGGCUUCACCUCACAGACUGGAGUUGUCUUUGUUAUAUCAGUGGACACUGGUGAGGUCCUCGAUAGCUACGUCCUGAACAAAAAAUGCUUAAAGUGUGAGCUCUAUUUGAACAAGUGUGAUGAGAAUGUCGAGGAGUUUGAGGAGUGGAGGGCAGAGCAUAUGGCCAAGGGAGAGUGUGACGCAAACUUCACAGGAAGUUCGCCAGCAAUGGAGGCAGAAGGAGCCCAAGUUCUGUGGUCCAGGUCCAGGUCCAGAAAAACACAAGAUGCGGUAUCGGUGGAUGGUGUCAGACGGAGACAGCAAGGCACACAACACAGUUCAGCACAUUUAUGAGGGAUGUACUGUCGAAAAGCUGGACUGUGUUGGACAUGUUCAAAAGAGGAUGGGGAAGCAGCUUCUGAAGCUUAAAACCCUGACAAAAGGAAAGCUGGCUGAUGGGCGAUCAAUUGGAGGUCAUGGGAGACUCUCAGAUUCCAAAAUCAAAGAUAUACAAAGGAAGUAUGGGCUAGCCAUUCGGCAAAACACUGUAAAAAGGCCAAACCCUACUGAGAGAGAAGUUGACAUCGCCGUGUACACAAUGAAAAAAAACAUCAUAGCCCUUCUAAACCAUACCGUUGCUAUGGAGGACAAAGCAAAGCAACAUAAGUAUUGUCCAGUUAGAGAGACAUCCUGGUGCUAAUGGCAGAAGGAUAAAGCGCUCAGCACCACUAGAUACACCGACAAGGACUGCCUCCCAGGUGUCUUUCUUGACCUGUUGAGGCCUGUCUUUAUGAGACUUAGUGAGACAAGCCUACUCAAGAGAUGUGUGAGGGGGGCGACCCAGAAUGCGAAUGAGAGCCUCAACUCCCUUGUUUGGGCAAGGUGCCCGAAGCACAAGUACCAUGGCUACAAAGUCAUCAGAUGUGCCGUCGCUGCUGCUGUCUGCCACUUCCAUGCUGGAGCCAGCAGCAGAGAAAAUGUUAUGAGGAGACUUUGUGUUCCUGCAGGGCAACACACAAGAAGGGCAUCCUUCGAAAAAGACAGGAAGCGGGUUCACAAAUCUGACCAGUCUGCCUCAGAGAAUGCCAAGAAGAGGCGAAGGGUCGAGGCUAGACUCAAAGCCCAGCAUGAGGAGGACUUGCGAGCCCAAGAGGGUGUCACUUAUGAGGCAGGAGCCUUUUGAAUUGAUUGUAGACAUGAGAAGCUGGUAUUUUACCAAAUUUCUACUUGAUUACUCAACAUAAACUUGUCAUUCAACUUUAAAGGCUUUUUUCUUGUAAUCCGAGUUACGGCAUUCAAAAAAUAUUAUCUCCUGAACAAUUCAAUGUAUCUGCUUCAAAUUUUCAGGGAAUCUCUUAGUUGAUGUGAUCUGUGUUUUAAGCAAUAGAUUUUUUUAUUGAAGCAAAAGGAACGAUUUUAACAUUUUUUUCAAUGUUAAUUUGGCCUUUAAGAUAAAAAUGAGAAAAUUUAACCAAAUUUUUAGAAUAUCAAAAAAUCCUUCGCUUAAAACACUCUUUACUCUGUAGUGUAUUAGAAAACAUAAAGGAUUUUUAUAUAUCUUCUAUCAUUAUGAUCAAAACAUUUUUUGAAGCUGGUUAGGUGGUUCACAGCAUGUGACCAAUAAAAAUGCACGGUUUCAAAUUACAAUAAUCCACAGAAUAUUAUUAAUAUAUUAUUUGUUAUCCUUGUUAUCUAAGCUUUCCAAAAAUGUAUAGUUUGCUAUACUUUGAAUAAAUAAUUAAAAAGUUAUAAGCCCA